GCCAGCGGUGACACAUGAAGGGGAUCACUGUGGCCGAUCCCGCCCGCCGCAUGCAGAACAGAUGCAAACCUGAGACUGACUAUGAGACAUAGCCGAAGAGUAUGAGACUGGGAGCUCCUCAGAGAAGUCUUGCCCUUGGAAGGACUGCCUAGCACACUGUGUCACUGCAAGUGUUCAGUACACAUUUGUUGAAAUACAAAUAAAAUUAAAUAAAACAAACAGGAUUUUCCUAGGUAAGGACCUGCUAGGAUAUCCUAGUGUCAUGGUAUUCUUUAGGCUACUGCCUCGGCCCUAGCUCUAAAGAAAGAAGAGAAUAAAUUUGGCAGCAAGCCAGACAUGGAUUCAAACUCCAGUUCCACCUGAAUUUAAACCAGCUGCAUCGGGGCUGGGGGAGUGGCAUAAUAGCAGAGUGUUUGCCUAAACUAGCUAUGUCUCUGCUUUCCCAUCUGCAAAUUGAUGAAAACAAUAAUACCAACUUUAAUUGAAUCCUUACAGCAAUCAAUUGGAUCCUGCCCGAGUUGUAUUAGAGAAGGGACGAGGUUAUGAGCCGUGGAAUAG
rnacentral:lncRNA from 1 species